GAUGAACGCUAGCGGCAGGCUUAAUACAUGCAAGUCGAACGGCAAGGACUUUCGGGUCCCUAGAGUGGCGCACGGGUGAGUAACACGUACACAACAUACCCUAUAUUGGAGGAUAGCCUUGGGAAACUGGGGGUAAUAUUCCAUAGUAUUUAUUGGAGGCAUCUCUGAUAAAUUAAAGAGCAAUCGAUAUAGGAUUGGUGUGCGUCCCAUUAGCUAGUUGGUAGGGUAACGGCCUACCAAGGCUACGAUGGGUAGCUGGCGUGAGAGCGCGACCAGCCACACUGGAACUGAGACACGGUCCAGACUCCUACGGGAGGCAGCAGUAGGGAAUAUUGGACAAUGGAGGCAACUCUGAUCCAGCCAUGCCGCGUGGAGGAUGACUGCCCUCUGGGUUGUAAAUAUCUUUUAUCUGGGAAGAAACUCCUCUAUUCUUAGAGGCCUGACGGUACCAGAGGAAUAAGCACCGGCUAACUCCGUGCCAGCAGCCGACGG
rnacentral:rRNA from 1 species